CACGUAGGGACCAAGCGUGAUCCGGAUUUAUUGGGCGUAAAGAGCUCGUAGGCGGUUCGGUAAGUCGGGUGUGAAAACUCUGGGCUCAACCCAGAGAGGCCACCCGAUACUGCUGUGACUAGAGUGCGGUAGGGGAGCGGGGAAUUCCUGGUGUAGCGGUGAAAUGCGCAGAUAUCAGGAGGAACACCAGCGGCGAAGGCGCCGCUCUGGGCCGUAACUGACGCUGAGGAGCGAAAGCAUGGGUAGCAAACAGG
rnacentral:rRNA from 1 species